rnacentral:lncRNA from 1 species
CUUGACCACAGGCCUUUGACACCUCUGGCAGCUGCCUACUGCCUGCAGAAUAAAGUCCUAGUCCCUUAACUUUCCAGGCCCUUCUAACCUGGUAUCAGCAUAACAUCAAUCUCCUACUUAUCCUCUUGAGCGCCUGGAGGUUAAAGACCUGCUGCCCUACUUGCCUCGAUGUUCUCUGCUCACUCUGGAGCCGUUCCCAGCCCUGUUGAGCCCAUUCUCCUCACCUGGACCACUGUGGUGUCCUGCCUCCUGGAACCUGC